GUGAAUCAUCGAAUUUUUGAACGCAAAUUGCACUCUCCGGUUUUCCGGGAGAGAAUGCCUGUUGGGGGGUCGGUUUAAAAAAUAAUCGAGGCUGCUGCUGUUGUGGCGCUUCGGCAUUGGGUCAUCUUCCACCUUUCGUGGUUGUAAGCGACUUAAAAUUUUUCUUACGAUUUUUACAAACGUGUCUAUGAAUUUCUUGUACGUUC
rnacentral:misc_RNA from 1 species